AGAGUUUGAUCCUGGCUCAGGACGAACGCUGGCGGCGUGCCUAAUACAUGCAAGUAGAACGCUGAAGAGAGGAGCUUGCUCUUCUUGGAUGAGUUGCGAACGGGUGAGUAACGCGUAGGUAACCUGCCUUGUAGCGGGGGAUAACUAUUGGAAACGAUAGCUAAUACCGCAUAACAAUGGAUGACACAUGUCAUUUAUUUGAAAGGGGCAAUUGCUCCACUACAAGAUGGACCUGCGUUGUAUUAGCUAGUAGGUGAGGUAACGGCUCACCUAGGCGACGAUACAUAGCCGACCUGAGAGGGUGAUCGGCCACACUGGGACUGAGACACGGCCCAGACUCCUACGGGAGGCAGCAGUAGGGAAUCUUCGGCAAUGGGGGCAACCCUGACCGAGCAACGCCGCGUGAGUGAAGAAGGUUUUCGGAUCGUAAAGCUCUGUUGUAAGUCAAGAACGAGUGUGAGAGUGGAAAAUUCACACUGUGACGGUAGCUUACCAGAAAGGGACGGCUAACUACGUGCCAGCAGCCGCGGUAAUACGUAGGUCCCGAGCGUUGUCCGGAUUUAUUGGGCGUAAAGCGAGCGCAGGCGGUUUGAUAAGUCUGAAGUUAAAGGCUGUGGCUCAACCAUAGUUCGCUUUGGAAACUGUCAAACUUGAGUGCAGAAGGGGAGAGUGGAAUUCCAUGUGUAGCGGUGAAAUGCGUAGAUAUAUGGAGGAACACCGGUGGCGAAAGCGGCUCUCUGGUCUGUAACUGACGCUGAGGCUCGAAAGCGUGGGGAGCGAACAGGAUUAGAUACCCUGGUAGUCCACGCCGUAAACGAUGAGUGCUAGGUGUUGGAUCCUUUCCGGGAUUCAGUGCCGCAGCUAACGCAUUAAGCACUCCGCCUGGGGAGUACGACCGCAAGGUUGAAACUCAAAGGAAUUGACGGGGGCCCGCACAAGCGGUGGAGCAUGUGGUUUAAUUCGAAGCAACGCGAAGAACCUUACCAGGUCUUGACAUCCCGAUGCUAUUUCUAGAGAUAGAAAGUUACUUCGGUACAUCGGUGACAGGUGGUGCAUGGUUGUCGUCAGCUCGUGUCGUGAGAUGUUGGGUUAAGUCCCGCAACGAGCGCAACCCCUAUUGUUAGUUGCCAUCAUUCAGUUGGGCACUCUAGCGAGACUGCCGGUAAUAAACCGGAGGAAGGUGGGGAUGACGUCAAAUCAUCAUGCCCCUUAUGACCUGGGCUACACACGUGCUACAAUGGUUGGUACAACGAGUUGCGAGUCGGUGACGGCAAGCUAAUCUCUUAAAGCCAAUCUCAGUUCGGAUUGUAGGCUGCAACUCGCCUACAUGAAGUCGGAAUCGCUAGUAAUCGCGGAUCAGCACGCCGCGGUGAAUACGUUCCCGGGCCUUGCACACACCGCCCGUCAA
rnacentral:rRNA from 1 species